rnacentral:tRNA from 1 species
UCCCUGGAGGAUUAGUGGUUAGGCCACAGCGCUCACCGCUGUGGCCCAGGUUUGAUUCCCAGCCAGGGAA